GGGCGCGGGAGAGGCAUUCGGCGGCCUCGUUCUUCUCAUGCAAGAGCAGCGCGGCAAGGGCGGCGUCGCUGAAUUCGUGUUCUUGCGCGCCGC
rnacentral:tRNA from 1 species